rnacentral:lncRNA from 1 species
UCUCUAUUACAUCGCCAUUAACACAUCUGAUAAAAUGAAGAUAAACCCUGAAAACAGCUGCUUCUCCUGGUGAGGUAAGGGACCCCUUGGUGAUAGAGGUAGAAGAUCAGUUGACCUCACAAUAGCCCUGGCUCGGACCUGUGCCACACAGGGUUGGUCUCUCAUUGGUGCCAGUCUCCUCCCAAGCCCUCUGAUUUCCCUUUGGCACUGGGGGUCCAUAUAUGUUGGCCUGGGGUUUCCAUAACAAAAUAUAGUACUACAGAUUGAGUUGCUUAAACAACAGAAGUUUGGUUCCUUAUUGCUCUGUUCUGGAGGCUGGAAGUCCACGAUCAAGGUGUCAGUAGGAAAACAAACGGUGGUAUGGUUCAUCUUCUCAUUACUAACAACAGAAGAAGAAGUGAGAGAAUGUUUUCUAUGAUGAAUUCUCCUGUGAAUCCAAGCAGAAAAGAGGGAAAUGAAGGAGAGGGUAAAAUGGGCACUAACCCCUGCGUUCAGGCUCCACAGUCCAUCUUGAUGAUUUGGCAUCCUGAGAAGACACGAUUACUGCCUGUGGUGAGAAGCACCGUUUUAUCUAUGAAAGACUUUGCCAACUUCAAGCUUGAUGAGGAGAUAUAUGAGGUCCUGGAUCAGAAGAGGCCAGACAAGAAGCCACCAUCAGCAGCAACAGCAUGGGCAGGACAAACCUGAGACCUUGAUGGACCAUGAACACCAAUAGGAGAAACACAGGAACUUGAAGUCUAAAUGGGCAGACAAGACCAACACACACAAAGCAGAGCGUGGCACAAGGGCAAUGCCUGAUGCAACAAUGACUCCGGAGAAUCACUCUGACUCAGAAUGGCCAAGCAAUGGUAUCGGGAGGAAGUAGGAUAGAACUGAGCUUUGAAGGCUGUACUAAAAUCUUUACAGACUCCCAAGGUUAUCUCAAGUUCUCUCCAGGAAUUAGCUUCACCUCUUUGUGCUUUGGCUCCACAUCAGUUAAAUAGUGAUAACAUUUGAUUGUUGAGAACCAU